UGUAGUGUGGUAUAGUGGUUUGAAUGUUGGACUAGGACAUUGACAGACCAGGGUUCGAAUCCCUGCUUGGGUG